rnacentral:piRNA from 2 species
UUCUGUCAUAUGGUGAUAAUGGUCCCGAUCU